rnacentral:lncRNA from 1 species
AGCAUCGACUGGUGUUUGCUACCCGCUGGGUGGAGCGAUGCUUGUGCCAGGAGGUCUGCUGGGCCCUGCAGGAGCAGCAAGGCAGGGCUGGUGUCACCUCAUUUCUGUCCUGGGGCUGCGAAGAAGUUUCCAGGAGGCCCCGGCUGGAGUGGUGCUGCACAGCUCGGCUGUCCUGGGCACGGCACUGCACACACAGCCUGCAGGAGCAGCUCUGGGGCUGGGGCACAGCUCCCCGAGGGAGCAGGCUCCUUGGCACGGGUGAGGUCCGUGUUUGCAGAGGAUGGCGAGCGUACCUGGCACGCUCCAGGUUCGGCUUCCCGGAGUGUGCCCGGCCCCAGCCGCCUCCUCUCGACCCCCGUGCGCGCCCCCGGCAGCCGGGGGGGGCUGAGGAAGGCUGCGAGCGGACACCCCCCGUGCACGAGGGCCCGGGGGCGAGCGGCGGGGCGCGGGGCGCGGGGGCGGGCAGUGNNNNNNNNNNGGAGGAGGAGGAGGAGGAGGAGCGGCUGCGAGCUCGGCUCUGGGCAUCUCAACCUGGCUGGCAGCGCGGCGGCAGGGAGCGCGGCACGCCGGGGGCACCGCACCGUCCGCAAUUGCGCCGCACCCCGGGGCCAUAGGUGCUCUUUAUGGCAUGUGGCUGGUAACUUUUUUCCUGCUCUACUCUUUGCCGAAAGGUACGUGGCGCCCGGCAGCGGGGACGCGGCGGGCUCCCCCCGGUGCCCUGCACCCCCCCGGUGCCCAGCACCCCCUCCGUGCGCCCCCACGGGGCUCCGGGGCCACGGGCGCGGCGUCCCCCGCGGAGCGCUCCGGGGGUCCCGGCGGGGGGCUCGGGGUGCCGCCCGCCCCCCGGGGGUCCCAGGGGCUCUGGGAGCCGAGCCCGAGCCCCCAGCGGUGCCGGAGCCCCCCGGGGUGCGGGCUGCCCGCUGCCCCGACGGGACCUGCCGGGGCUGGCGGCGGUACUUUGGAGAGCUUUGUUCUGGUGUCCCCGCUUUUCCGGGACUACUUAGAGCGAUAUCCUAA